rnacentral:lncRNA from 1 species
CUCGUGCUAAGUACCAGUAUCACCGACAACGUCUUCGGCUUCCUACAAUAACCGAAAUAUAUUACUGAGUCUUCGACUGAAACAUUAUGAAUUUUUGCAAGAUCCUGCUACUGCUUGUCGCCCUGCUGUUGAGCGUCAGUUUGUCGUCGUCUGGGUUGGUACGACAGCGGAGGAGGUUCCCAGGCGAGCGAAGGCUUGGUAUCACUAACUAUGGCUUCACUUUCUUUGGCAGGAAUGGUUUCGAGAACAGACGUAAAGCUGGCUAAACGUGGCCACGGAACUUGGCUUCUGGUCAUCUGCUUCCAACGAACUGCUUAACCUCCUAUAGUAAUACGACGAAACGAAGCGACAAAGCAAGAAUAGAACAGUAAUACCUAAACAGUGAAUAAAGUAAGGAAGGAAUAGGAGUGUGAGCAUUUAGUGAUGUACCAAUCUGGACUGACAUUGUAGAGUUCCUACAAUAUAUGACUUUCAAAUGAUUUUCUGAUCUUGUUUCCGGAAAUAUAAAAUCAAUGUGUUUAAACUCGCGUUAAUUUUAGCAUCCAGCAGAUUAAGUUUAACAUGAAAAUUAUUCCUAAACACCUUUUUUCCGAAAUCAACCUGUUUUACGAAAAU